AGAAAUUUGAUCCUGAUUUGAUCAGGAUUUAGGCUUAGUUAAUUUCUAAUUGAAUUAAUAAUUUAUUAAGAUAAUUGAGCUUCUAAUUAAAUUAAAUUUAUUUCUAUCAUUUGGUUCAAACCAAAUUUGAUUUGGCUCAGAAUCGAAUUAAAAAUGAAGUCCUAGUCGGUAGGAACUCUAUCCUUAUCCUUGCACCACCCC
rnacentral:lncRNA from 1 species